UCUGGGGCCGGACUAGCCCAGCGCGUCUGCCUACCCACAGGGAUUCCCUCUCCAGCCAAUCCGUUCAGAGCAGAGGAGCUGCCCCGAACAAAGAUGGCGCGGGAGGCGUCUGUGAGGGCAGACUGAUCCGAGCACCCAAACCCUCGGCGGACAGCGGAGCCAGUGGUAGCGGCACGGCCCCAACCAUGGAGGAGGGCGGCAGCACUGGCAGUGCUGCCAGUGACAGCAGUACCAGCGGGAGUGGCGGGGCGCAGCAAAGGGAGCUGGAGCGCAUGGCUGAGGUCUUGGUCACCGGGGAGCAGCUACGGCUCAGGCUGCAUGAAGAAAAGGUUAUUAAAGAUAGACGUCAUCAUCUCAAGACCUACCCAAACUGUUUCGUCGCAAAAGAACUGAUUGACUGGCUGAUUGAACACAAAGAGGCUUCCGACAGAGAGACGGCAAUUAAACUCAUGCAGAAAUUAGCAGACCGGGGCAUUAUUCACCAUGUGUGUGAUGAGCAUAAAGAAUUCAAGGAUGUCAAACUCUUCUACCGCUUUAGAAAGGAUGACGGCACCUUCCCAUUGGAUAACGAAGUGAAGGCCUUUAUGAGGGGACAGCGGCUGUAUGAAAAGCUGAUGAGCCCUGAAAACACACUCCUGCAGCCCAGGGAGGAGGAAGGGGUCAAGUAUGAGCGCACCUUCAUGGCAUCUGAAUUCCUGGACUGGCUGGUUCAGGAAGGUGAGGCCACCACAAGGAAAGAGGCAGAGCAGCUUUGCCACCGGCUUAUGGAGCAUGGCAUCAUCCAGCAUGUGUCCAACAAGCACCCAUUUGUGGACAGCAAUCUUCUCUACCAGUUUAGAAUGAACUUCCGGCGGAGGCGAAGACUGAUGGAGCUGCUCAAUGAAAAGUCCCCUUCCUCCCAGGAAACUCAUGACAGUCCCUUCUGCCUGAGGAAGCAGAGCCAUGACAAUCGGAAAUCUACCAGCUUUAUGUCAGUGAGCCCCAGCAAGGAGAUCAAGAUCGUGUCUGCAGUGAGGAGGAGCAGCAUGAGCAGCUGUGGCAGCAGCGGCUACUUCAGCAGCAGCCCCACCCUCAGCAGCAGCCCCCCUGUGCUCUGCAACCCCAAGUCCGUGCUGAAGAGACCUGUCACCUCUGAGGAACUCCUUACUCCCGGGGCUCCGUAUGCAAGGAAGACAUUCACGAUUGUUGGUGACGCGGUUGGCUGGGGUUUUGUGGUGCGAGGAAGUAAGCCAUGCCACAUCCAGGCUGUAGACCCCAGUGGCCCUGCAGCCGCAGCCGGAAUGAAGUGGUACCUCACCUCAGAUGGGCUGGUUUUCCAUUUUAAGACUGGGAUGAGACACCACAAAACAGGGCAGGCGAUACGGUUUGGAUAUUUUGUCCCUUCCAAAUCUCAUGUUGAAAUGUGACGUCCAAUGUUGGAGGGGAGCCUGGUGAGAUGUGUUUGGAUCCUCAUGAAUGUCCUGGUGCGGUCCUCGCAGUAAUGAGAUGGUUCACACCUGAGACCUGACUAAGUACCCAAGCUUCAGGAAGAUUCUUGGGAUGGAGAAGACAAGGAGGAAAUCUAGGCAUGGUGAAAUGGAAAACAAUUAAACUCAGAAGGAAUUUGAAUUCGUUUUUGGCAAGGACCCUCCACGUUUUCCAAGGCUUGCUGCCUAAACAUCAAUUCAGUCCGCCUCUUGCAGGUGUGUGUAUGACGCAGAGGGAGUCAUUUCAUGGCAGAAGUGUAGGCUGGAGAAGACCUGGCUAAAUUUCAGAAUAGAUGGGCUGAGGAUGGGGAGGGAACUUUACUUCCCCUCAGUGUUUCUCCAUCUCUGUCCUUUGCAACUAGCUGCUUCCUCUCUGAAAUUUUAACUUCUAUUCCUGGAGCAGAGAACAUUUUUAAAUUCUAUCAAACUCAGUAAAGACUCCAACACAAUUUUUUAAAAUAAAAAUUACCUCCAAAAAUGAUCAAAGGAAGGUACAAUAAUUGUAGGCAACAUUAGCAAUAAAGAGAAACAAAAAAGAAUAAAAUUCAUGUGACUAUCACCUCAUCACACAGAGGAAAUUAUGAUUUAUUCCUUGGUCUAUAUUCUUCCAGACCUUCUUAACACAUAUAACACAUACUUUGUCCAUUUUGUUUUGCUGUUUUGAUUAUCCUUGUCUCUUAAAUUUCAAAAAUAACCAUGCUAAUUCCUUAGGAUAAUUCUAGAAGUAAGUAUCAUAACUCUAUUUUCUGAGUCAAACAGUACACGUAUUCCAAAGGUCUUCUCUUCAGUUUCCAUACACAUUCCCAGUCUCUCCUCUCCUCUCCAACCUUCAUAGGCAGCCCGGAGAUGUGACAAGACUCACAGCACUGCUGUUCUGGUUUACUCUGUCAUAUCUCCGUUUGCUGAAGAAUUAUUUGAUAAAAGACCAUGUCUGGUUAUUCUCCCAAAUGUAAAUAUUUUUAUCCAUCUGCUAUAUGAUUAAAAUGAGUUCAUGGGAUAAACUUGAUAAAUCUUGGAUACAAAUAUUAUGAACUGAAGUUUAUUGGUAUGAGUGUUUACAAGUAUAAGCACAACCAGGAAUCAUAGAGGAAUUAGCUUUUCCUGUGCUUAAACAUGACUAAUGGCAAGAGAGUCAGGGGAGCUUGUCUUCUAAGAGGUAUCAUUAAAAGGGCAACAUUGGAGCAAGAAAAAGUUACAAAGUAGGAAAAGCAAUCUUUUAGGCCAUAUUAAGAAUGUUUGACUUUAUCCUAACAGUAACAGCAAACUACUGAAGGAGAGGUAGAGGGUAACCUGUUUGGAUUGACAUUUUGAAAAGUUUACUUUCACUUCAAUGUAGAAAAUGGACUGGUAGAGGCCGGGUGUGGUGGCUCACACCUAUCAUCCCAGCACU